UUGAUCCUGGCUCACAUCGAACGCUUAGGGCGUGGCUAAGGCAUGCAAGUCGAACGCGAAAGUGAUUCUUCGGGGAAGCGAGUAGAGUGGCGAAAGGGCGAGGAACACAUGGGAACGUACCUUUGGCUCGGGGAUAGCUGUGGGAAACCGCAGGUAAUACCCGACAUCGCGGAAACGUGAAAGCCGGGGAUCGAAAGACCUGGCGGCCAGAGAGCGGCCCAUGUCCUAUCAGCUUGUUGGUGAGGUAACGGCUCACCAAGGCGACGACGGGUACCGGGGCUGAGAGGUUGACCCGGCGCAUCGGGACUGAGACACUGCCCGGACUCCUACGGGAGGCUGCAGCACCGAAUAUUCCACAAUGGGCGAAAGCCUGAUGGAGCGACGCCGCGUGUGGGAGUAAGCCCUUCGGGGUGUAAACCACUGUCAGGGAUCACCAAGCGACCGGGGCGAACAGUCCCGGAAGUUGAGGAGUCCCAGAGGAAGUCACGGCUAACUUCGUGCCAGCAGCCGCGGUAAGACGAAGGUGGCGAGCGUUGUUCGGAAUUACUGGGCUUAAAGAGCACGUAGGUGGGCUUGCAAGCGUCUUGUGAAAGCCCCCGGCUUAACCGGGGAAUUGCAGGGCGAACUGCCAGCCUUGAGGCCCGUAAGGGCGAGUGGAACUCUUGGUGGACCGGUGGAAUGCGUAGAUAUCAAGAGGAACGCCGGAGGUGAAGACGACUCGCUGGGCCUGUCCUGACACUGAGGUGCGAAAGCCAGGGGAGCAAACGGGAUUAGAUACCCCGGUAGUCCUGGCCUUAAACGAUGUCCACUAGG
rnacentral:rRNA from 1 species